CCAAGAAAUGUUUAUAAUUAGUUUUUUAAAAUGCACUCAGUUUGCUCAUUUCAUGCUUCUUAUUCAAGCAUACAUCAGUUGUAACUGAUAGACAUUAAACCUUUAAGUUGUUUUUAUACAACAUGAAUAUAUGCAUUAUCCUCGGAUAUAUUGUGUGAAUUAUUUAAGCAGAUUCUGACUAAAUGAAUACAGUUGUUGAUGCUUUAGUGUCACCUGUUCUGUGAUUAAUGAAUCCUUUGGGGGUCAAAUUAUUCCCUUGAGAGGUGAAAAGCUACACCAGCACCAAUUCUGUACUUGGUUUUAAGACAUGAGGCAUAACAUACAAUAAAGAAACCAUACUAAGAUAUCAAGCUAGUAUCUAUAUGAAAAGAGGAAAAUGUAUGCAUCUGAGACAAAAAAAACAGCUGAGGAAAUAAGACCAUACUCAAGCUGCAAGUACAGUCAAAAGAUGUUAGGAAAUGUGCAGCCUUGAUGGGGAGGAAGCAGCUUCUAAACCAUGUCUCAAGAAUUUUUCAUCUACAAAACAAUACCAAAAUUUCACUGUUAAAGGCCGAAGAACAGAGAGCUUAUGUGAGGAUUCAUGAUUUUAGAAAUGUCCAGGCUUAUUCCACAUUUGCACUGGGUCAGCUCCACUGACUCCACUCUCCUCAGCAAAGGCCUGCCAUCCCCUCUGGCUUGUACAUGUGUGGAGAAGGAUUCGUUUCCCAGCAGGACAGUGAGCCUAAACAUGCAGCGAAGCUCUAUACCAGGCCUGUUUGAUGUCCAAGGAGGACCAGAAAGGAGUGCUGACAUGCACAGCUUUCCCUCCACAAUUGCCAGACCUCGACAUCACUGAGCAUCUUUCUGAACAUAGGAAAAAGGCGAUUGAUGCCGUCUCUAAGACAUUGCUGGAAUAAUGUAAAAAAUCUAAUUUUACAAACAUGUGAGGCAUCAAUGCCAAGAAGAGAGAGCUUCAAGUUGACCUGAAGACCUCACCUACCUCUGGUUUUUCCUGACGUGUGGCUGCACACAGAGAGAAGACCCCGCAGUUCAGUGUGGAUGGACGGAUAGUUCAGCACUCUGGACAGCGCCUGAAACAAGAACACUGACCUGCAGGAGGAGAGGAAGUUGGGAGCUGUCUCCUCACUCACCUGCAAGCCUGAGCGCCGACAUCCGCUGGAACUC